rnacentral:rRNA from 1 species
UACGAAGGGGGCAAGCGUUGUUCGGAAUUACUGGGCGUAAAGCGUGCGCAGGCGGUUAUGUAAGACAGAUGUGAAAUGCCCGGGCUUAACCUGGGAGCUGCAUUUGUGACUGCAUGGCUAGAGUUUGGCAGAGGGGGGUAGAAUUCCACGUGUAGCAGUGAAAUGCGUAGAUAUGUGGAGGAACACCGAUGGCGAAGGCAGCCCCCUGGGUCAAGACUGACGCUCAUGCACGAAAGCGUGGGGAGCAAACAGG